GACGAACGCUGGCGGCGUGCUUAACACAUGCAAGUCGAACGAAGAGCGAUGGAAGCUUGCUUCUAUCAAUCUUAGUGGCGAACGGGUGAGUAACGCGUAAUCAACCUGCCCUUCAGAGGGGGACAACAGUUGGAAACGACUGCUAAUACCGCAUACGAUCUGACCUCGGCAUCGAGGAUAGAUGAAAGGUGGCCUCUAUUUAUAAGCUAUCACUGAAGGAGGGGAUUGCGUCUGAUUAGCUAGUUGGAGGGGUAACGGCCCACCAAGGCGAUGAUCAGUAGCCGGUCUGAGAGGAUGAACGGCCACAUUGGGACUGAGACACGGCCCAGACUCCUACGGGAGGCAGCAGUGGGGAAUCUUCCGCAAUGGACGAAAGUCUGGCGGAGCAACGCCGCGUGAGUGAUGACGGCCUUCGGGUUGUAAAGCUCUGUUAAUCGGGACGAAAGGCCUUCUUGCGAAUAGUUAGAAGGAUUGACGGUACCGGAAUAGAAAGCCACGGCUAACUACGUG
rnacentral:rRNA from 1 species